rnacentral:rRNA from 1 species
UACGGAGGGUGCAAGCGUUGUUCGGAUUUAUUGGGCGUAAAGCGUGUAGGCGGCUAGGUAGGUCCGUUGUGAAAACUCGAGGCUCAACCUCGAGACGUCGAUGGAAACCAUCUAGCUAGAGUCCGGAAGAGGAGAGUGGAAUUCCUGGUGUAGCGGUGAAAUGCGCAGAUAUCAGGAAGAACACCCGUGGCGAAGGCGGCUCUCUGGUACGUGACUGACGCUGAGACGCGAAAGCGUGGGGAGCGAACAGG